UCCGGUUUGACACCGGCAGUCUCGCUAGAGUACACGGCAUGACCCGUGAGUAACUAGCGAUAGGGGUUGCGCUCGUUAAGGGACUUAACCCGACACUUCACAGCACGAGCUGACGACAGCCAUGCAGCACCUGUGCUCGUUCCACCCUUGCGGGUGUGGCCCCUGUUUCCAGGGGUUAAUCCGAGCAUGUCAAGCCUAGGUAAGGUUCUUCGCGUUGCCUCGAAUUAAGCAACAUGCUCCACCGCUUGUGUGAGCCCCCGUCAAUUCCUUUGAGUUUUAGCCUUGCGACCGUACUCCCCAGGCGGCGCACUUAUCGUUUUUACUUCGACCGAUACCGCGUCAGAGCGGCACCGGUCUAGUGCGCAUCGUUUACGGCGUGGACUAC
rnacentral:misc_RNA from 1 species